CCGUUUUUUGGCCAUUUUUCCGCUGGGGGGUCUUGGGACCCCGACCUUCGGGGGCUGUUUUUUGGGCGCGGCUGUGUCCGUGGCCUAUUUUUGGCACACGGAGGCCGCCCGCCAAGUCUGGUGCCAUUCCGAGUCCCGCGGACGAACUUCGCCCCCGCCCCCCACCAAGGCUAUAGCCCACCCGUUUUUUGGCCAUUUUUCCGCUGGGGGGUCUUGGGACCCCGACCUUCGGGGGCUGUUUUUUGGGCGCGGCUGUGCCCGUGGCCUAUUUUUGGCACGCGGAGGCCGCCCGCCAAGUCUGGUGCCAUUCCGAGUCCCGCGGACGAACUUCGCCCACGCCCCCCACCAAGGCUAUAGCCCACCCGUUUUUUGGCCAUUUUUCCGCUGGGGGGUCUUGGGACCCCGACCUUCGGGGGCUGAUUUUUGGGCGCGGCUAUGCCCGUGGCCUAUUUUUGGCACACGGACGCAGCCCGCCAAGUCUGGUACCAAUCCGAGUCCCGCGGACGAACUUCGCCCACGCCCCCCACCAAGGUUAUAGCCCACCUUGUUUUUUGGCCAUUUUUUCGCUGGGGGGUCUUGGGACCCCGACCUUCGGGGGCUUGUUUUUGGGCGCGGCUGUGCCCGUGGCCUAUUUUUGGCACACGGAGGCCGCCCGCCAAGUCUGGUGCCAUUCCGAGUCCCGCGGACGAACUUCGCCCACGCCCCCCACCAAGGCUAUAGCCCACCCGUUUUUUGGCCAUUUUUCCGCUGGGGGGUCUUGGGACCCCGAACUUCGGGGGCUGUUUUUUGGGCGCGGCUGUGCCCGUGGCCUAUUUUUGGCACACGGAGGCCUACCGCCAAGUCUGGUGCCAUUCCGAGUUCCGCGGACGACCUUCGCCCACGCCCCCCACCAAGGCUAUAGCCCACCCGUUUUUUGGCCAUUUUUCCGCUGGGGGGUCUUGGGACCCCGAACUUCGGGGGCUGUUUUUUGGGCGCGGCUGUGCCCGUGGCCUAUUUUUGGCACACGGAGGCCUACCGCCAAGUCUGGUGCCAUUCCGAGUCCCGCGGACGAACUUCGCCCACGCCCCCCACCAAGGUCAUAGCCCACCCGUUUUUUGGCCAUUUUUCCGCUGGGGGGUCUUGGGACCCCGACCAUCGGGGGCUGUUUUUUGGGCGCGGCUGUGCCCGUGGCCUAUUUUUGGCAACGGAGGCCGCCCGCCAAGGCUGGUGCCAUUCCGAGUCCCGCGGACGAACUUCGCCCGCGCCCCCCACCAAGGCUAUAGCCCACCCGUUUUUUGGCCAUUUUUCCACUGGGGGUUCUUGGGACCCCGACCUUCGGGGGCUGUUUUUUGGGCGCGGCUGUGACCGUGGCCUAUUUUUGGCACACGGAGGCCUACCGCCAAGUCUGGUGCCAUUCCGAGUCCCGCGGACGAACUUCGCCCACGCCCCCCACCAAGGUCAUAGCCCACCCGUUUUUUGGCCAUUUUUCCGCUGGGGGGUCUUGGGACCCCGACCAUCGGGGGCUGUUUUUUGGGCGCGGCUGUGCCCGUGGCCUAUUUUUGGCAACGGAGGCCGCCCGCCAAGGCUGGUGCCAUUCCGAGUCCCGCGGACGAAUUUCGCCCACGCCCCCCACCAAGGCUAUAGCCCUCCCGUUUUUUGGCCAUUUUUCCGCUGGGGGGUCUUGGGACCCCGAACUUCGGGGGCUGUUUUUUGGGCGCGGCUGUGCCCGUGGCCUAUUUUUGGCACACGGAGGCCGCCCGCCAAGUCUGGUGCCAUUCCGAGUCCCGCGGACGAACUUCGCCCACGCCCCCCACCAAGGCUAUAGCCCACCCGUUUUUUGGCCAUUUUUCCGCUGGGGGGUCUUGGGACCCCGACCUUCGGGGGCUGGUUUUUGGGCGCGGCUGUGCCCGUGGCCUAUUUUUUGCACACGGAGGCCGCCCGCCAAGUCGGGUGCCAUUCCGAGUCCCGCGGAUGAACUUCGCCCACGCCCCCCACCAAGGCUAUAGCCCACCCGUUUUUUGGCCAUUUUUCCGCUGGGGGGUCUUGAAACCCCGACCUUCGGGGGCUGU
rnacentral:lncRNA from 1 species